UACGGGGGGGGCAAGCGUUGUUCGGAAUUACUGGGCGUAAAGGGCGCGUAGGCGGUUGGAUAAGUCAGCUGUGAAAACCACGGGCUUAACUCGUGGCCUGCAGUUGAGACUGUCUGGCUUGAGUGUGGGAGAGGAGAGUGGAAUUCCUGGUGUAGCGGUGAAAUGCGUAGAUAUCAGGAGGAACACCGGUGGUGUAGACGGCUUUCUGGACCGUAACUGACGCUGAGACACGAAAGCGUGGGUAGCAAACAGG
rnacentral:rRNA from 1 species